GAAGCGAUUAAUAGAAUUAGAAUUUACAUUCCUUACACAAUAAUUUAAAAUGCUCAAUAGGGUUACGAGAAUGUCCAUACUAAAAAACAAACGGUAAUUAAAGAAAUAAAAAAAAAGAGCGAAUAAAUAAGUCUUCUAUGACAACCUUCAUUAGCACUUAAAGAGAGUUCGAGUGGUGAAUUACUCACAACUCUCUUGCUAAUCGGGAUCUAGAUCUUGACCUUCUUGAUCUGAA
rnacentral:lncRNA from 1 species